rnacentral:rRNA from 1 species
CGAAGAACACCUUCACAAGCGUGACACAUAUACGAACAACCCCCAAAUAUUGUCGUCCUGCAACAUUGGUAAACAGGUGGUGCAUGGUUGUCGUCAGCUCGUGUCGUGAGAUGUUGGGUUAAGUCCCGCAACGAGCGCAACCCUCGUUCUAUGUUGCCAGCACGUAAUGGUGGGAACUCAUAGGAGACUGCCGGGGUCAACUCGGAGGAAGGUGGGGAUGACGUCAAAUCAUCAUGCCCCUUAUGUCUUGGGCUUCACGCAUGCUACAAUGGCCGGUACAAAGGGCUGCAAUACCGUAAGGUGGAGCGAAUCCCAAAAAGCCGGUCUCAGUUCGGAUUGAGGUCUGCAACUCGACCUCAUGAAGUCGGAGUCGCUAGUAAUCGCAGAUCAGCAACGUGCGGUA